rnacentral:pre_miRNA from 1 species
AAAGAGUGCAAUUUUGUACUGUUCAUGUCCAACGUUUGACUGUUCGUCUUAUUUGAAAAUUUUGUAUGAUUAGUAUUUUUAUUAUUAUUAGAUAAUAAAACACGAAUCGUACUUUAUGUGUGACUAUUUUUUUUAAUUUUUUCAUAUUUUUUCAAAUAAGACGGUGUUGACGAAAAAUCCGCGCUCGGCCGAUG